rnacentral:rRNA from 1 species
UGGGGAAUAUUGGACAAUGGGGGAAACCCUGAUCCAGCGAUGCCGCGUGUGCGAAGAGGGCCUGCGGGUUGUAAAGCACUUUGGUUGGGGAAGAAGUGUUGAAGUCGAAAAGGCUUUAGCAUUGACGUUACUCAAGAAACAAGCACCGGCUAACUCUGUGCCAGCAGCCGCGGUAAUACAGAGGGUGCAAGCGUUAAUCGGAAUUACUGGGCGUAAAGGGCGCGUAGGCGGUGAAUUAAGUUGGAGGUGAAAGCCCUGGGCUCAACCUGGGAAUCGCCUCUAAGACUGAUUUGCUAGAGUAGGGUAGAGGGAAGUGGAAUUUCCGGUGUAGCGGUGAAAUGCGUAGAUAUCGGAAAGAACAUCAGUGGCGAAGGCGGCUUCCUGGACUUAUACUGACGCUGAGGCGCGAAAGCAUGGGGAGCAAAC